rnacentral:rRNA from 2 species
CCUACGGGAGGCAGCAGUGAGGAAUAUUGGUCAAUGGGCGCAAGCCUGAACCAGCGACGCCGCGUGGGGGAUGAAGGGGCUUUGCCUCGUAAACCUCUGUCGGAUGGGACGAAAGGUGGCUUUGAGCCACUGGGACGGUACCAUCAAAGGAAGGAUCGGCUAACUACGUGCCAGCAGCCGCGGUAAUACGUAGGAUCCGAGCGUUGUCCGGAGUUACUGGGUGUAAAGGGUGCGUAGGCUGUUCUGUGCGUCAGAGGUGAAAUCCACGGGCUUAACUCGUGGGGUGCCUUUGAUACGGCAGGGCUUGAGUACGAGAGAGGUGCGUGGAAUUCCUGGUGUAGCAGUGAAAUGCGUAGAUAUCAGGAGGAACACCGGUGGCGAAGGCGGCGCACUGGCUCGUAACUGACGCUGAGGCACGAAAGCGUGGGGAUCAAACAGGAUUAGAUACCCUGGUAGUCCACGCCUUAAACGAUGCAUGCUUGGUGUUGGUCUCGCAAGAGAUCAGUGCCGUAGUUAACAUGAUAAGCAUGCCACCUGGGGAGUACGAUCGCAAGGUUGAAACUCAAAGGAAUUGACGG